GGAUUGAGAACUGCUCAGUGGGUUAGGUAGUUUCCUGUUGUUGGGCCUAGAUUUCUAAACACAAGAACAUCAAACCACCUGAUUCACUGCAGUUACUGUUC
ensembl:miRNA MIR196A1 microRNA 196a-1